UUUUAGCCAUUAUCUAUCUAAGAUUAACUAUGGAGCUGUGAUGUUCACAUCUGGUGUUAUAAAAUAUUUAACAGAACAAUACAAAUUUAGGCAUAAAUAGGUCAAGUUUGGCCUCAACAUUAAAGGGCUGUCAUUAAUAACUUCCCAUUCCCUUUCCUGGAGCACUAUUAAAGUAUAUUAUUGGAGAAGGGUGACAGGUGCCAGUAAACUCCUACUGUCGGUCCAUCAACCACCUCAACUCCUGGUGCAGAAGGUGGUCAUAUCACCCAAGAAGCUGACAGUGUUGAGAUUUCAGCCAGCUUUAAGUCGACAACGUCCAUCGCCUGCAUCCUCAAGGAGCCCGAUGAACUGAGCCGGAACAGCAGUGCCUUGCCUUCGUCCAUCUACUCUGAUAUGAUGAUGAGAGGAGAAAACAUCUCCCUGAGCUUCAAGAGCUUCAGAGUCCUGCUCUGCUGCUCUACAUCAACACGUUCUACAGAGAGUACCUGGCCCUGCUCAUCAAUAAACAUGUGCUUUCAUGGUGCCAUGUUGCGUGCCCCACCACCCCUCCAUCACUGCCCAGUCUUCGCAGAUUAUCAGUGCAUCACCUCAUCAACCUCAUCAGCCUUAUCAGUCUCAACAGAAGACAUUAGCCACCAUCACCACCACCAGUGUCUGGACUCCAUGGGGGGAUUUAUCUUGCUGCUGCUCAGGACUGAUGUCCCUCGAUUCAAAAUCUCCCUGUAGAGUUUAAGUGCCGAAAACGUUUGACCACUCUUAAUCAUCAAUGUCAUCUAUAUAAUAAACAAUUCUUUUUGCUUUAUUCACUUGUUUCUCCUGAUUGAAAUAAAAUAAAAAUAUCUGGAGGUAUGC